CAUCAUCCUGGUGUAGUUCAGCUUCGUGGACUAAUAGUUACUCAGCUUCAAAUAUCCUAUAUGGAUGUUUUAAGUAAGAAAUGUUACACCUGGAUCUCCACCCCAUCACCAACUAUAAAUUACACAGGCUUUGUAUAUAAUAAAUAUGAAAAUAGUGCUCGAUCUUGGGCCUUGGAAUCACAGCAAUAUCUUGUUUUCACUCUAAUCCAUCUCACAUGCUAAAAGUAAUAAUAAAAACAACAUUUUAAACUGAAGCACUAUAGUGCGCUGAUGAACCUGGUGUGGAUAGUUAAUGGUGUGGAUAGUUAAUGGUGUGUAUAUGUUAAGUGGAAUCCUGAUAGCUCAACUUGCUGAUUAAACUGGGAGGCUGAAUGUGAGUCAUGUCUUGUGUGAACGGUGAAGAUGAGUGUCUCCCAUUUGGCUACUCAGGUUGUAUGUGUGUGUGUGUGUGUGUCAUAUCAACUUCUAAAAAGCCCCUCGUGUUUGAAGGUUACUUUGUGCAUCUCCAGGGGCUGUCAGCCAUGAGUCCAGUGCAAAAUUUACAGCUCUAAAUCAGAGCAUAUGCCGCCAAUGAGGAAGAAACGCAGAAAACUGGGUGUAUGACAGUAUCUGGGUGCCCCCUAGCGUAUGGAUCAUUUCUGCCUCAAAAUACUCGCUUUACCGUGCAAGAGCCAUCUUAAAUAGAAAACGGCGUCUCCGGCUGUUCGUCUCUCGCUAAUGCCAAAAGCGACGUGCGCUCGUUUUUAAUCUGAUUAAUGCUUUUGAGACUCGUUUCUAAUUGAAGCGGACGUGGCAAAGCUACGGGUGUGCGUCCGCCUUUUUUACUCAUGCAUGCUGCAGAAGACGCGGAAUGUUUCUUUGCUUAUUUUGCAGUCAGAUGUGUGUGUUUUUUUUUUUCUUUUUUUUUUUAAGUGAGCUCUGCACUGUGCGAGCCAGAAGCCUUUACGCAAAGCGGACACGAAGGAAAAACGCAGGAAAAAAAAAACAAUACUACGGUUUUGGAAUUUACUGAAAGCCAUUUUGGAUCCGAUGCCUGUACAGGGCAGAGAGCAGAUAGGCGAGCUGCAGAACUACACAGCGUUAUAAACAUGAAGAGCUUCUGAAACCUACCAAAAGCAUAGGAUGUCGAUUCGUCGUCCCCGUAGUGCAUCCUCUCCUAGAGAAAACCAACUUAGUCUUCUGUCUUUCUUUGUGUUUUUACGGUGUGUUUGCUGGGGCAGACAGUGUUCCCUUCCCCACAGACGGAGUAAUGCACGAGAAAAACAGGUUCCUCGGUUUAUUGAAAUGAUUAAAAAAAGCUUUAGGGAAUAAAAGAAGAAGAAGAAGAAG